UCCCAGUUCGGAUUGUAGUCUGCAACCCGACUACAUGAAGCUGGAAUCGCUAGUAAUCGCGGAUCAGAAUGCCGCGGUGAAUACGUUCCCGGGUCUUGUACACACCGCCCGUCACACCAUGGGAGUCGGAAAUGCCCGAAGUCUGUGACCCAACCUUAGGGAGGGAGCAGCCGAAGGCAGGUCGGAUGACUGGGGUGAAGUCGUAACAAGGUAAC
rnacentral:rRNA from 1 species